rnacentral:rRNA from 1 species
GUCGAACGCUGGCGGCGUGCUUAACACAUGCAAGUCGAACGGAAAGGCCCUGCUUUUGUGGGGUGCUCGAGUGGCGAACGGGUGAGUAACCCGUGAGUAACCUGCCCUUGACUGUGGGAUAACUUCAGGCAACUGGGGCUAAUACCUGCUAGGAGCUCCUGCUGCAUGGUGGGGGUUGGAAAGUUUCGGCGGUUGGGGAUGGACUCGGGGCUUAUCAGCUUGUUGGUGGGGUAGUGGCUUACCAAGCCUUUGGCGGGCAGCCGGCCUGGGAGGGGGACCGGCGACAAUGGGACUGAGAUACGGCCCAGACUCCUAUGGGAGGCAGCAGUGGGGAAUAUUGCACAAUGGGCGGAAGCCUGAUGCAGCAACGCCGCGUGCGGGAUGACGGCCUUCGGGUUGUAAACCGCUUUCGCCUGUGACGAAGCGUGAGUGACGGUAAUGGGUAAAGAAGCACCGGCUAACUACGUG